UGGUGGCGACCGGCGCACGGGUGAGUAACGCGUAUGCAACCCACUUAUCAGAGGGGAAUAACCCGGCGAAAGUCGGACUAAUACCGCAUAAAACAGGGACACCGCAUGGUGAUAUUUGUUAAAGAAAUUCGCUGAUAGAUGGGCAUGCGUUCCAUUAGGUAGUUGGUGAGGUAACGGCUCACCAAGCCGACGAUGGAUAGGGGAACUGAGAGGUUGGUCCCCCACACUGGUACUGAGACACGGACCAGACUCCUACGGGAGGCAGCAGUGAGGAAUAUUGGUCAAUGGGCGAGAGCCUGAACCAGCCAAGUCGCGUGAAGGAAGAAGGAUCUAUGGUUCGUAAACUUCUUUUGCAGGGGAAUAAAGUGCAGGACGUGUCCUGUUUUGUAUGUACCCUGAGAAUAAGGAUCGGCUAACUCCGUGCCAGCAGCCGCGGUAAUACGGAGGAUCCGAGCGUUAUCCGGAUUUAUUGGGUUUAAAGGGUGCGUAGGUGGUUUGAUAAGUCAGCGGUGAAAGUUUGCAGCUUAACUGUAAAAAUGCCGUUGAAACUGUCGGACUUGAGUGUAAAUGAGGUAGGCGGAAUGCGUGGUGUAGCGGUGAAAUGCUUAGAUAUCACGAAGAACUCCGAUUG
rnacentral:rRNA from 2 species